GUGGGGAAUCUUGCGCAAUGGGCGAAAGCCUGACGCAGCCAUGCCGCGUGAAUGAUGAAGGUCUUAGGAUUGUAAAAUUCUUUCACCGGGGACGAUAAUGACGGUACCCGGAGAAGAAGCUCCGGCUAACUUCGUGCCAGCAGCCGCGGUAAUACGAAGGGGGCUAGCGUUGCUCGGAAUUACUGGGCGUAAAGGGCGCGUAGGCGGACAGCUUAGUCAGAGGUGAAAGCCCAGGGCUCAACCUUGGAAUUGCCUUUGAUACUGGCUGUCUUGAGUUUGGGAGCGGUGAGUGGAGCUCCGAGUGUAGAGGUGAAAUUCGUAGAUAUUCGGAAGAACACCAGUGGCGAAGGCGACUCACUGGCCCAAUACUGACGCUGAGGCGCGAAAGCGUGGGGAGCAAACAGGAUUAGAUACCCCUGUAGUCC
rnacentral:rRNA from 1 species